GCCAGGCUGGGUGGGGCACGCCUGUAAUCCCAGCAGCUCCGGAGGCUGAGGCAGGAGGAUCGCGAGUUCAAAGCCAGCCUCAGUAAAAUGGAGAUGCUAAGCAACUCAGUGAGACCCUGACUCUA
rnacentral:sRNA from 1 species